rnacentral:rRNA from 1 species
AUUGAACGCUGGCGGCAGGCUUAACACAUGCAAGUCGAGCGGGGUGAUGGUGCUUGCACUAUCACUUAGCGGCGGACGGGUGAGUAAUGCUUAGGAAUCUGCCUAUUAGUGGGGGACAACAUCUCGAAAGGGAUGCUAAUACCGCAUACGUCCUACGGGAGAAAGCAGGGGAUCACUUGUGACCUUGCGCUAAUAGAUGAGCCUAAGUCGGAUUAGCUAGUUGGUGGGGUAAAAGCCUACCAAGGCGACGAUCUGUAGCGGGUCUGAGAGGAUGAUCCGCCACACUGGGGCUGAGACACGGCCCAGACUCCUACGGGAGGCAGCAGUGGGGAAUAUUGGACAAUGGGGGGAACCCUGAUCCAGCCAUGCCGCGUGUGUGAAGAAGGCCUUAUGGUUGUAAAGCACUUUAAGCGAGGAGGAGGCUCUUUUGGUUAAUACCCAAGAUGAGUGGACGUUACUCGCAGAAUAAGCACCGGCUAACUCUGUGCCAGCAGCCGCAGUAA